rnacentral:rRNA from 1 species
GACGAACGCUGGCGGCGUGCCUAAUACAUGCAAGUUGAGCGCUGAAGGUUGGUACUUGUACCAACUGGAUGAGCAGCGAACGGGUGAGUAACGCGUGGGGAGUCUGCCUUUGAGCGGGGGACAACAUUUGGAAACGAAUGCUAAUACCGCAUAAAAACUUUAAACACAAGUUUUAAGUUUGAAAGAUGCAAUUGCAUCACUCAAAGAUGGUCCCGCGUUGUAUUAGCUAGUUGGUGAGGUAAAGGCUCACCAAGGCGAUGAUACAUAGCCGACCUGAGAGGGUGAUCGGCCACAUUGGGACUGAGACACGGCCCAAACUCCUACGGGAGGCAGCAGUAGGGAAUCUUCGGCAAUGGACGAAAGUCUGACCGAGCAACGCCGCGUGAGUGAAGAAGGUUUUCGGAUCGUAAAACUCUGUUGGUAGAGAAGAACGUUGGUGAGAGUGGAAAGCUCAUCAAGUGACGGUAACUACCCAGAAAGGGACGGCUAACUACGUG